ACCUGCGGAAGGAUCAUUGUCGUGACCCUAACAAAAAUAGACUGUGAAUAUGUCAUCCAUGCCGUCGGGCGAUGGUCCUAGCACCGUCUCUCGGCAUAGGCCCUUGUCCUUCUUUACGGAGGGCAGGCGGCCUAAAAGAACCCACGGCGCCGUGUGGCGUCAAGGAACACUAUGAUGCCAGCUCAGGGCAACGAUCAGCUCGCUGAACGAGGCCCUGUGCUGCGCUGCUACCGUAAUCCUUAAGACUCUCGGCAACGGAUAUCUUGGCUCUCGCAUCGAUGAAGAACGUAGCAAAAUGCGAUACCUGGUGUGAAUUGCAGAAUCCCGUGAACCAUCGAGUUUUUGAACGCAAGUUGCGCCUGAGGCCUCUUGGUUGAGGGCACGUCUGCCUGGGCGUCACGCCAACAAUCACUCCCCUGGAAUCCCCGUGCGGGAUGUGGUGUUUGGCCUUCCAUUCCACUUGAAAGGCGUGGUAGGCUCAAGUAAGUGGCUACUGGCUUAUGGUGCCAGUCACAGCACUUGGUGGAUGACACAUGUUGUUCUCGAAGUUGUGACUUGUACUGCUUUCGGCAACAUUGGCCCCAUAGACCCAUUGAUCGAUCGAGCAUUGUUUGCUUGCACCACGACCCCAGGUCAGUCGGGAUUACCCGCUGAAUUUAAGCAUAUCAAUAAG
rnacentral:rRNA from 1 species